rnacentral:tRNA from 1 species
GGGGGUACAGCUCAGUGGUAGAGGGCAUGCUUAGCAUGCAUGAGGUCCUGGGUUCACUCCCCAGUACCUCCA